UACGAAGGGGGCUAGCGUUGCUCGGAAUCACUGGGCGUAAAGCGCACGUAGGCGGAUUGCUAAGUCAGGGGUGAAAUCCUGGAGCUCAACUCCAGAACUGCCCUUGAUACUGGCGGUCUCGAGUCCGGGAGAGGUGAGUGGAACUGCGAGUGUAGAGGUGAAAUUCGUAGAUAUUCGGCGGAACACCAGUGGCGAAGGCGACUCACUGGCCCGAUACUGACGCUGGA
rnacentral:rRNA from 1 species